UCCCCCUUAGCUCAGCGGUAGAGCGCUUCACUAGUAU
rnacentral:tRNA from 1 species